CGCUGACUGCGGCAUGCGGCUUCGACCCGGGCUGAUCCCCUGGCGCACCUUCCCCGGCGCCAGGUGACCCCGGCUCGGGUUGGAACCGGAUGCCGCAGUUCCACUUCG
rfam:Propionibacterium acidifaciens F0233 ctg1127964738360, whole genome shotgun sequence.